UACGGGGGGGGCAAGCGUUGUUCGGAAUUACUGGGCGUAAAGGGCUCGUAGGCGGCCAACUAAGUCACACGUGAAAUCCCACGGCUCAACCGUGGAACUGCGUGUGAGACUGGAUGGCUUGAGUUUGGGAGAGGAAUGCGGAAUUCCAGGUGUAGCGGUGAAAUGCGUAGAUAUCUGGAGGAACACCGGUGGCGAAGGCGGCAUUCUGGACCAAUACUGACGCUGA
rnacentral:rRNA from 1 species